rnacentral:rRNA from 1 species
UACAGAGGUCUCAAGCGUUGUUCGGAUUCAUUGGGCGUAAAGGGUGUGUAGGUGGCGCGCUAAGUCGGGUGUGAAAUUUCGGAGCUUAACUCCGAAACUGCAUUCGAUACUGCGGUGCUUGAGGACUGGAGAGGAGACUGGAAUUCAUGGUGUAGCAGUGAAAUGCGUAGAGAUGUGGAGGAACACCGAUGGCGAAGGCAGCCCCCUGGGCCGACACUGACGCUCAUGCACGAAAGCGUGGGGAGCAAACAGG